CUCAUUUUCAUCUAAGUUUUAUAUAUAAUAUUUUUAUUUUAUAAAAUAGAAUAAGUAUGUACAUAAGUGUUAAUAAAAAAUAUGUCAGAAGUACAAUAUAUGGACAAAAGUAUUGGGACGCACCUCUUAAUUAUUAUAAUCAAGCACCUAGCCAUGCAGCCUGUAAAAAAAUGGGUAGUUCUAAAGAGCUCAGUGAAUUUGCUUGUGGUACUGUGAUAGGAUGCCACCUUUGCAGCAAGUCAGUUUCUGAAAUUUUAUCCCUGCUAGAUAUUCCAUGGUCAACUGUAAGUGUUAUUAUUGGAAAGUGGAAGCAUUUAGGAACAGCAUCAACUCAGCCAUGACGCAAAGACCACGUAAAGUCACAGAGCGGGGUUACUGAGUGCUGAGGCGCAUGUUUCUCCUUCCUGUGGGCUGACGUAUCUGCUGAGGAGGCACUUUUAGGCCGUAUCACUGAGGACUUGUAGAGAGAACAGAUGGAUCCAUCCUCACCAAUCCGAUAGGACACCUCGGAAGGGUCCACCCACAGGGUCAGCUCUAUUGGAAGUGAUGAGAAAAGCUGCUCUUGUGAGCUGCAGACAUUUAUGCAACUAUGCUUAAGCAACUAUGAUGUUGUCAUAUUGGGCUUGAGUAAAAGCAGUGCCCUAAACCGGAAAAACCUGAAAGAUGAGUAGAGAGUAAAUGAUUAUACACCUCUUAAUUCCGUUAGUUUUGCAUGCAAAUGUAUUGUAUUUA